AGUCGAGCGGUAGAGAGAAGCUUGCUUCUCUUGAGAGCGGCGGACGGGUGAGUAAUGCCUAGGAAUCUGCCUGGUAGUGGGGGAUAACGUUCGGAAACGGACGCUAAUACCGCAUACGUCCUACGGGAGAAAGCAGGGGACCUUCGGGCCUUGCGCUAUCAGAUGAGCCUAGGUCGGAUUAGCUAGUUGGUGAGGUAAUGGCUCACCAAGGCGACGAUCCGUAACUGGUCUGAGAGGAUGAUCAGUCACACUGGAACUGAGACACGGUCCAGACUCCUACGGGAGGCAGCAGUGGGGAAUAUUGGACAAUGGGCGAAAGCUGGAUCCAGCCAUGCCGCGUGUGUGAAGAAGGUCUUCGGAUUGUAAAGCACUUUAAGUUGGGAGGAAGGGCAGUUACCUAAUACGUGAUUGUUUUGACGUUACCGACAGAAUAAGCACCGGCUAACUCUGUGCCA
rnacentral:rRNA from 1 species